CUUUAGCCUUCCAAGCUAC
rnacentral:tRNA from 2 species